rnacentral:rRNA from 1 species
GAUGGACCCGCGGUGCAUUAGCUAGUUGGUGAGGUAACGGCUCACCAAGGCAACGAUGCAUAGCCGACCUGAGAGGGUGAUCGGCCACAUUGGGACUGAGACACGGCCCAAACUCCUACGGGAGGCAGCAGUAGGGAAUCUUCGGCAAUGGACGAAAGUCUGACCGAGCAACGCCGCGUGAGUGAAGAAGGUUUUCGGAUCGUAAAACUCUGUUGUUAGAGAAGAACAAGGAUGAGAGUAAAAUGUUCAUCCCUUGACGGUAUCUAACCAGAAAGCCACGGCUAACUACGUGCCAGCAGCCGCGGUAAUACGUAGGUGGCAAGCGUUGUCCGGAUUUAUUGGGCGUAAAGCGAGCGCAGGCGGUUUCUUAAGUCUGAUGUGAAAGCCCCCGGCUCAACCGGGGAGGGUCAUUGGAAACUGGGAAACUUGAGUGCAGAAGAGGAGAGUGGAAUUCCAUGUGUAGCGGUGAAAUGCGUAGAUAUAUGGAGGAACACCAGUGGCGAAGGCGGCUCUCUGGUCUGUAACUGACGCUGAGGCUCGAAAGCGUGGGGAGCAAACAGGAUUAGAUACCCUGGUAGUCCACGCC